rnacentral:siRNA from 1 species
AGAGCUUCAUUUGAUGUACUCUA